rnacentral:rRNA from 1 species
AUGGCCCGUGCUGCAGUUGCUCGGCUCGUGCUGGUCGCCCUGGUGGCGACAAUGCUCCUCAUAACCACCGACGCGGCCAUCUCAUGCGGUCAGGUGAACUCCGCCUUGAGCCCCUGCAUCUCCUAUGCACGAGGCAACAGUGCCAACCCGUCUGCGGCCUGCUGCAGCGGCGUCAGGAGACUUGCGGGCGCAGUGCGGAGCACCACUGACAAGAAAACGACGUGCAACUGCAUCAAGAGCGCUGCUGGUGGGCUCAGCGCUGGCAAGGCCGCCGACAUCCCCUCCAAGUGCAGCGUCAGCAUCCCAUACGCCAUCAGCCCUUCCCUCGACUGCUCUACUAUUCGCUAA